rnacentral:rRNA from 1 species
CCCUUAGAUGUUCUGGGCCGCACGCGCGCUACACUGAUGCAUUCAACGAGUCUAAAACCUGGUCUGAUAGGGCUGGGUAAUCUUUUGAAUGUGCAUCGUGAUUGGGAUAGAUGAUUGCAAUUCUUCAUCUUCAACGAGGAAUGCCUAGUAAACGCAAGUCAUCAGCUUGCAUUGAUUACGUCCCUGCCCUUUGUACACACCGCCCGUCGCUCCUACCGAUUGAAUGUUCCGAUGAAUACCAUGGACUGAGAGUAUGAAUGGGUUCGCCUAUUUCUGCUUCUCGGGAAGUGGAGUAAAUCUUAACAUUUAGAGGAAGGAGAAGUCGUAACG